CUGCGAAUGGCUCAUUAUAUAAGUUAUCGUUUAUUUGAUAGUACCUUACUACUUGGAUAACCGUGGUAAUUCUAGAGCUAAUACAUGCUGAAAAUCCCGACUUCGGAAGGGAUGUAUUUAUUAGAUUCAAAACCAAUGCCCCCUGGGCUCACUGGUGAUUCAUGAUAACUCCUCGAAUCGCACGGCCUUGCGCCGGCGAUGGUUCAUUCAAAUUUCUUCCCUAUCAACUUUCGAUGUUUGGGUAGUGGCCAAACAUGGUUGCAACGGGUAACGGAGGGUUAGGGCUCGACCCCGGAGAAGGAGCCUGAGAAACGGCUACUACAUCCAAGGAAGGCAGCAGGCGCGCAAAUUACCCAAUCCCGACACGGGGAGGUAGUGACAAUAAAUACUGAUACAGGGCUCUUUUGGGUCUUGUAAUUGGAAUGAGUACAAUUUAAAUCCCUUAACGAGGAACAAUUGGAGGGCAAGUCUGGUGCCAGCAGCCGCGGUAAUUCCAGCUCCAAUAGCGUAUAUUAAAGUUGUUGUGGUUAAAAAGCUCGUAGUUGAACCUUGGGCCUGGCUGGCCGGUCCGCCUCACCGCGUGUACUGGUCCGGCCGGGCCUUUCCCUCUGUGGAACCCCAUGCCCUUCACUGGGCGUGGCGGGGAAACAGGACUUUUACUUUGAAAAAAUUAGAGUGCUCCAGGCAGGCCUAUGCUCGAAUACAUUAGCAUGGAAUAAUGAAAUAGGACGCGCGGUUCUAUUUUGUUGGUUUCUAGGACCGCCGUAAUGAUUAAUAGGGACAGUCGGGGGCAUCAGUAUUCAAUAGUCAGAGGUGAAAUUCUUGGAUCUAUUGAAGACUAACUACUGCGAAAGCAUUUGUCAAGGAUGUUUUCAUUAAUCAGGAACGAAAGUUAGGGGAUCGAAGACGAUCAGAUACCGUCGUAGUCUUAACCAUAAACUAUGCCGACUAGGGAUCGGACGAUGUUAUUUUUUGACUCGUUCGGCACCUUACGAGAAAUCAAAGUGCUUGGGCUCCAAGGGGAGUAUGGUCGCAAGGCUGAAACUUAAAGGAAAUUGACCGGAG
rnacentral:rRNA from 1 species